rnacentral:rRNA from 1 species
UAGUAACUGCGAGUGAAGCGGGAAAAGCUCAAAUUUAAAAUCUGGCGGUCUUUGGCCGUCCGAGUUGUAGUCUGGAGAAGUGCUUUCCGCGCUGGACCGUGUAUAAGUCUCUUGGAACAGAGCGUCAUAGAGGGUGAGAAUCCCGUCUUUGACACGGACUACCAGUGCUUUGUGAUGCGCUCUCAAAGAGUCGAGUUGUUUGGGAAUGCAGCUCAAAAUGGGUGGUGAAUUCCAUCUAAAGCUAAAUAUUGGCGAGAGACCGAUAGCGAACAAGUACCGUGAGGGAAAGAUGAAAAGCACUUUGGAAAGAGAGUUAAACAGUACGUGAAAUUGCUGAAAGGGAAACGCUUGAAGUCAGUCGCGUCGUCCGGAACUCAGCCUUGCUUUCGCUUGGUGCACUUUCCGGAUGACGGGUCAGCAUCGAUUUUGACCGUCGGAAAAGGGCUGGAGUAAUGUGGCACCUCCGGGUGUGUUAUAGACUCUGGUCGCAUACGGCGGUUGGGAUCGAGGAACGCAGCGCGCCGUAAGGCAGGGGAUUCUCCCACUUUCGCGCUUAGGAUGCUGGCAUAAUGGCUUUAAACGACCCGUCUUGAAACACGGACCAAGGAGUCUAACAUACCUGCGAGUGUUUGGGUGGAAAACCCGAGCGCGCAAUGAAAGUGAAAGUUGAGACCUCUGUCGUGGAGGGCAUCGACGCCCGGACCUGACGUUCUCUGACGGAUCCGCGGUAGAGCAUGUAUGUUGGGACCCGAAAGAUGGUGAACUAUGCCUGAAUAGGGUGAAGCCAGAGGAAACUCUGGUGGAGGCUCGUAGCGAUUCUGACGUGCAAAUCGAUCGUCAAAUUUGGGUAUAGGGGGCGAAAGACUAAUCGAAC